rnacentral:rRNA from 1 species
AAGCUCGUAGUUGAAUUUCGAAUGUGGCUGGGCGGUCCGCCUCACGGUGUGCACUGUCUGGCUGUGUUCUCUUUCUUGGUGAGCCGGCAUGCCCUUUACUGGGUGUGUUGGGGAACCAGGACGUUUACCUUGAGAAAAUUAGAGUGUUCAAAGCAGGCCUACGCCCGAAUACAUUAGCAUAGCAUAAUAAAAUAGGACGUGCGGUUCUAUUUUGUUGGUUUCUAGAGCCGCAGUAAUGAUUAAUAGGGAUAGUUGG